rnacentral:rRNA from 1 species
GGGCCCGCACAAGCGGUGGAGCAUGUGGUUUAAUUCGAUGAUACGCGAGGAACCUUACCAGGGCUUAAAUGUAGUGGGACAGGUCUAGAGAUAGACCCUUCUUCGGACUCAUUACAAGGUGCUGCAUGGUUGUCGUCAGCUCGUGCCGUGAGGUGUCAGGUUAAGUCCUAUAACGAGCGCAACCCUAUCGUUAGUUGCCAGCGAGUAAUGUCGGGAACUCUAACGAAACUGCCAGUGCAAACUGUGAGGAAGGUGGGGAUGACGUCAAAUCAUCACGGCCCUUACGUCCUGGGCUACACACGUGCUACAAUGGCCGGUACAGAGAGCAGCCACUUCGCAAGAAGGAGCGAAUCUUCAAAGCCGAUCACAGUUCGGAUCGGAGUCUGCAACUCGACUCCGUG